rnacentral:rRNA from 1 species
AGGAUGAACGCUAGCUACAGGCUUAACACAUGCAAGUCGAGGGGCAGCAUGGUCUUAGCUUGCUAAGGCCGAUGGCGACCGGCGCACGGGUGAGUAACACGUAUCCAACCUGCCGUCUACUCUUGGACAGCCUUCUGAAAGGAAGAUUAAUACAAGAUGGCAUCAUGAGUCCGCAUGUUCACAUGAUUAAAGGUAUUCCGGUAGACGAUGGGGAUGCGUUCCAUUAGAUAGUAGGCGGGGUAACGGCCCACCUAGUCUUCGAUGGAUAGGGGUUCUGAGAGGAAGGUCCCCCACAUUGGAACUGAGACACGGUCCAAACUCCUACGGGAGGCAGCAGUGAGGAAUAUUGGUCAAUGGGCGAGAGCCUGAACCAGCCAAGUAGCGUGAAGGAUGACUGCCCUAUGGGUUGUAAACUUCUUUUAUAAAGGAAUAAAGUCGGGUAUGCAUACCCGUUUGCAUGUACUUUAUGAAUAAGGAUCGGCUAACUCCGUGCCAGCAGCCGCGGUAAUACGGAGGAUCCGAGCGUUAUCCGGAUUUAUUGGGUUUAAAGGGAGCGUAGAUGGAUGUUUAAGUCAGUUGUGAAAGUUUGCGGCUCAACCGUAAAAUUGCAGUUGAUACUGGAUAUCUUGAGUGCAGUUGAGGCAGGCGGAAUUCGUGGUGUAGCGGUGAAAUGCUUAGAUAUCACGAAGAACUCCGAUUGCGAAGGCAGCCUGCUAAGCUGCAACUGACAUUGAGGCUCGAAAGUGUGGGUAUCAAACAGGAUUAGAUACCCUGGUAGUCCACACGGUAAACGAUGAAUACUUGCUGUUUGCGAUAUACGGCAAGCGGCCAAGCGAAAGCGUUAAGUAUUCCACCUGGGGAGUACGCCGGCAACGGUGAAACUCAAAGGAAUUGACGGGGGCCCGCACAAGCGGAGGAACAUGUGGUUUAAUUCGAUGAUACGCGAGGAACCUUACCCGGGCUUAAAUUGCAGAUGAAUUACGGUGAAAGCCGUAAGCCGCAAGGCAUCUGUGAAGGUGCUGCAUGGUUGUCGUCAGCUCGUGCCGUGAGGUGUCGGCUUAAGUGCCAUAACGAGCGCAACCCUUGUUGUCAGUUACUAACAGGUUCCGCUGAGGACUCUGACAAGACUGCCAUCGUAAGAUGUGAGGAAGGUGGGGAUGACGUCAAAUCAGCACGGCCCUUACGUCCGGGGCUACACACGUGUUACAAUGGGGGGUACAGAGGGCCGCUACCACGCGAGUGGAUGCCAAUCCCCAAAACCUCUCUCAGUUCGGACUGGAGUCUGCAACCCGACUCCACGAAGCUGGAUUCGCUAGUAAUCGCGCAUCAGCCACGGCGCGGUGAAUACGUUCCCGGGCCUUGUACACACCGCCCGUCAAGCCAUGGGAGCCGGGGGUACCUGAAGUGCGUAACCGCGAGGAGCGCCCUAGGGUAAAACUG